UCAAACUCGCACCAGGGUACCUGCCUGUGCGCGCGGAAACGGAUCUCCAUGCGACCAGAGAGAAGAGGCGGCAUGACGCUGCGGUAGUGUAAGCGGAGGUCUCGGGUGAACGACACUAUGAAGCUGCUCCGGGAGUAUCCGGCGAUCCACGGUAACGACGCAGUCGAAUACAGUCAGGUCUGGUGAGAAGAGCGUCACAAUCUGCGCGUUAACGAAAGCAGCCGCCUGGAAAUCAUGUCGCAGCCAAGCCCGCGUGAGACGGGCGACGCUUUUCUCUGAGGUGGGGGGCUGCGAGAGAUGCGUCCGCAGGAUGGGACCGCGCGCGCCGCUGGUGAAUUUUAAUUAUCUUAGGUCCGGGCAGAACGGAUACUUGGAAUCAUAGGAUUUGGUCUCGUGUCCUCGCGAUCCUGCGUACGCCUGCGCGUUCUCUCAGGGUUGCCUGAUGGUGGGAAUUCUCCGCUAGCCCGGGGAAUCAGCGCGUCGGAGAGCAGCGAGUGGAUUCGCAGAUGUGCUGUCCGUUUUUCCCGGUUACAGCUGAGCAGCCAACCUGCACGGCCGGACAGCCACUGGUUUGCGCACGUAGAUGUUUGUGUCGCUGAAUAGACUACUGGAUUGCGCGCCUCGCCAUCACCCAACCUUCGGCCGUGGAUCCAGAGGUGCAACAGGGACAGGUGCAGUGCGGUGACGCCCCCUUUAGGCUGUUUGCUUAACUACUGGCAGAUAGACUGCUGGGCUGACCACAAUGCAUCAGGUAACCAGGGGGGCCAGGUGAGGAGGUGAGGUGUGGACUGACCGUGUAAAUUGCAGGAUUCUCCCAUUGUAUGGAUGACAGAGGUCAUGUGGUCUCCGCCAUGGGCCAAGGG